AAGUCGUAACAAGGUUUCCGUAGGUGAACCUGCGGAAGGAUCAUUAACACGUAUCCAACGUUAAACCCCCUGUGAACAUUGAGCUUGCUCUCGAAGCUUGUUUAGAAUUGCAAUCCCUGGUAAAUCAUUGUUGAGCAGAUUUUGAUUCAGGGACCUCAGUUCUGGUGAGUUAGAUUGAGCGAUUGAUCAAGUGGCCUGGUUUCCCCAAGCAGUCAGUGUCUGAAAGUGUCAUUGAUUGUGCAAGGAUAACGCUUCUACGGACCGUACCUUCGGGCAGGAGCUUUGCCAAAGGGUCCCCAUGCCCCCUAAUAACCCCACAGAAGCUCAAUGUAAUACAUUGGGUAAAAAAACCGAACAACUGUUAACAAUGGAUAUCUUGGUUCUC
rnacentral:misc_RNA from 1 species